rfam:Triticum aestivum genome assembly, contig: Triticum_aestivum_CS42_TGACv1_scaffold_179181_2DS
AUGAGCCACAUGCAAGGAAACUUGCACGUGUGGUUCUGGCCGAGCUUUCCUUCGGUAU